ACUUGAGUUGCUACUAGUAAGCUUACGUGCAACGCACGUCUUACUUUAUACUCUAGUAUUGAUUUUGUUUCAGAUAUUUACAAACAUGAAAGAAAGAAAACUUUUGUCUUUUUAUCCAAAUAAUUACAAAUGAUGGCGGCCGUUUGGCUUGGAUCUAUUCUAUGCCGACAGUUCAGAACAAUUUACAAUUUACCAUGGAUUCCCAAGAACGGUCUUAAAAAUACAAACUCACGCACAAAUAAUUCUACUAUAAAGUCCAAUCAUACAGGGGAAUAAUAGGGAUGCGAAGAAGAGAUUAUCCAUCCUUAAAGAUACUGGUAUCAGUAGUAUACAUGCUCUUUGAUGUGUUCAUCUUUUGAGCAAAUAAGUCUAGCAAUGCUAGUGAAGACACAAAGAAAACUUGGAAACUGUCAGGAACCGGUGCCUAUGGCAACAAGGCAGGACAUGUGUGCAUGGCAACACCACAUAGCAGGAGGUACAAUUGGAUCACAUUCUGCUAGUACAUCAAAUGUGCCGGUUAACUGUGCAAUUAUUUCUUCCACAUUGGAAAACAACCUGAUUUUUUUUCCUGAAACAUACUUAUAAUACAACUAUUAGUGGUACCAAAGGUUAGUGAAAUCAUGCCUUGCAGGAAUUUUCCUUGUUCCAUAUGAUAGUGUGACAAGUAAGUCUCCAUGACUCCGGUUUCUGACCAUGCCAAUGAGCUGCAAAGAAUAGAGUUAAUUAACAACUUUACAAUAAAAUCAUAAAAGCAGCAGUCUUUGUGGGUGAAUAGUGUUACGGUGCAUAAAUAGUGUUAUAUCACGAGGUUGCAAACUUGCAAUACAAUAUAGUGGUAAAUCAAUAAUAAUUAUGUAUAAGCAUGCAUGAGACCAAUAUUCGGCCUCCAAUACAUAUUAGUGGCAAAUCAAUAAAAAAAAUCUGUAUAAGCAUGAGAGAAAAUUUGGGAGAGCAUCUAAGCAUACGUGUAUAGGUCACAUACCAAGAACAGACAUAAUUAGCACGCACAAGCGUCGGGAGAAUCCACCAGUUCUUCAAUCAAUAAAAAGAAAGCCACCCCAAUCCUCCAACCAAUAUUAAAGGAACCAAUUGAGAAAUCAGCAUAUAGAGAUGGGAGGUGCUGCCGGCGUCAAGGGUCCCGGUGGGAGAGGAGCGGCGCAUCACUGUUUCAAAUGAGUCAAUGAGACAAUAAAGGUCCAGAUUUUAACAAAUUAGAAAUCAAAAUGGUAAGAUGCAAGGUUCAUGACUUCCACAAAAAGAGCUCUUUUGGGAUUGUAAGAUGCAUCAGCUCGAAUUAGGAACUAUCAUCCUCACCGUUUCCAAUAAAAAAUGAAAUGAUAGGAGAACCAGUAAUUCACAUUUGCUUCACCAUGAAACCCUGAGCAUGCUGCAGUUGUUUUAUAUACUGCACGUAAUUUGGCAUUUGAAUAGGAAAAUGGGUUCAAAGACGACACAAGCUACGUACGUAAAGGGCAGAAAAGUCACACUGGGUAUCUUCAAUUGCAAAUGGAAAUAAUUUCACUGAAAUAAAGAAGCAAGAUCAACCAAUAUUGACUCGACUGGAACCUAAAAUAAAGAAGCAAGAGUCUCCUAUCUAAUGAAACAUGUACAUCAAACCUCAGUAUUCUUGAAAUCUGUCACAUACAUAGAAUAGUGGAGCAUUGACCUGCAAAGUAAUCUGGGCUCAGGUGUUCAUCCAUCUUAGUCUCCCCCAUCCUCAUGGCUAGCAUAAUUGGACUUUAACAUAGUGCCAAAUGGAAGUCAAUCAUUUUUUGAGAAACAGAUAUUUCACAGUUGAAUCCAUAUCUACAGGAAUCAACUAUUUGCAUGUGGCAAUAUAUUAAAGGCAGAAACACAUCGUCAAGCAGGAUCUUUCACCGAUCUACAUACACUUAUAUGUUCGUUUAUCAAAUCAAAGAAAGAUGAAAUUGGUCCUUCCAGAUCUUAUACACGACCAAGUUUAUAUAAAUCAAAGAACGUGUAUACCUUUUAUGUGGAGGAUUCAGAUGAAGGAAUUAUCUCCAACGCCCUCCUCACGUACGCAUGGUGCUAGAGAUCUCGCUGUUGAGGGAGCACGUCAUGGAGAAGAGGCACCGGGGCGCGGAACGGAGGCACCGACGCGCGGCGUGGCAGGCCCGGGAAGCGUGACAGGGCGGGAGGGGCCUUAAACGGGAGCGCAGGCGCGCGGGAGGCGAGACAGGAGCGGCGGCGAGCCGGGGCACGACGACGGCGUGGUGCGCGGCAUGCUGCGCGCGGCCCGGCACGAGGCCGGGGGCGCGGCGGCUCCUGCUCCCUGGGCGGCGCGGCGGCGGGCGGGGAGCGAGAGUGGGGAUGGUCCUAUCUGAGGGUGACUAAUUUUCACGAUUUCUGGGUGGGUAAUCAUGGGGAUGGUGCCUAUAUGCGUGAUUAGAGGGGAUGCAUUGCCUGAUUCCUUUUUUUCGUGCGAUUACAGGCGAUGCGUUUGCGGAAGCGAGGCGUGAAGUUC
rnacentral:lncRNA from 1 species